UAGUUUUUAUGGAUAUUCAAGGACAUUUCUAAGUUUUAAACUAUCGAAACCAAAAUUUUGAACAUUGAUCGCAAUUUUGUCCAUGGCCUCAGGUUCCAUUUCUCAUGAAGAAAUGGAUAGAGAGAUGAAUAGGCCAAUUGUUUUGUCUCGACCACCUGAUAUUAAUAUCCUCUUAUCUGCUAAACAUAGUUCUCCUCCACAUCUAUGGAAUUCAGACCCUUUUGAUAUGUUGGAUGUUGGUCUUGGAGUUCAAAUUAAUGACCCUGAGGCACACCAUCUGCAAAGAACGGUCGAAAAUGAAGCAAAAGGUUGGAUAGUGUUUUGGGGUGCCUGGUUUUUCUUUAGUUAUUAUUUUAAGCCUGUUCCAAAUGAGAAAUCGAAAACCAAGCUCAUUCGAGAUUCUAAUGGGGUUUCGGGGUAUGAUAAGUCAGAUCUUGUGCUUGAGGUGUUCUUGGUUCAGCAUGAUAUGAAGAAUAUGUACAUGUGGGUGUUUAAGGAGAGGCCUAAGAAUGCGUCGGGUAAGAUGCAGUUGAGGAGCUACAUGAACGAACACUCACGCCAGGAAGAAUGUAAAUUUUCAUUUAGUGUUGACAAGAGGAAGCAUUAUGGAGGCCUCUCCAAUCCCCAAUGCAUACAUGGGCUUGAGGUUGUUUGUUCACCCAAUCUCAACGGUCUAAACGAGGAAGAGCAGAAAAGAUGGAGAGAACUUACAUGCAGGGAUCUGAACUUCUCAGUCCCACCGGAAGCAAUUGAGUUUUGUUCAUGGAUAAACCUUACUAAUACUGCAUUUGAGCUUGAGAUACCCAUUCCUUUAUUGAAGACCAACACACAUUCCCAUUCAAAGAAAUUACUUAAUGGUCCUAGGCUCAAUCUGUCAACUCGGCUAUCAAAUCAUGCUAAUGGUGGUGGAAUGGACAUCUCAGCUCUUUGCCACAAGAGGAAGAAAGAUUUGUUUCUGCAUGGCAAUGAUGACGAUUGUUGUUUGCUCAUGAAUCAACCUAAUGGUAGAGUGCAAGAUACAAAAAUACACCCAAUAUAACAACCAUGGUUAAACGAGUUUAAUGGGGUUAUGAGAAAUUGAUAUGGGCCCGUCACAGCUGCAAAAACUAUUUAUGAGGAUGAAAAAGGAUACUUGAUAAUAAUAAGCUUGCCUUUCAUUGACCUUUAAAAGGUUAAAGUUACUUAGUGGAAUACUCUCAUGCAUGGUGUGGUCAAGAUAUCAUGUGUGAGUGCAGCCUGCAUGCAUUAUAUCAAAAGAAAUGAUAGAACUUUCAAGCUUACUGAUCCUUCUCCUGAGCAUUGCCCCCCUUGGAGAAUUCAUAAGGGAAAUUCUAUUACCUGCUUGUAUUCCAGAUGAUGCUAGGCUAGAAGCAUAUGGUGAUGAAACUGUUACGGGUCUUGAGAUCAUGGUUCCAAAACACCAUGUAAGACCAGAGGAGCAUGAAGUUCGUGUUUGCCUACGCCCUCACCUCGAAGUCAAUGAGUUGCUGUUGUCUUGGAUGAGAUCAUAUAUGCUGAAGAAUUGUAACAUCAAGUUCAAAAUUAGUUUGUAUCAAAGAAAGAAUUCUUCCAUUUAUGAAGUAAAAUUACAUUUUUUUUUUAUCAUAGCCACUGUACGUAACUGUUCUGGUACAUGUAUGCUGGAAUAACUCUUUUUGUGGAUUGACAUGGUUGAAGUAAUAAAAGGGUUAGGAGCAAA